UUUGGGGUAUAAAAGAGUUGGAUUUCUUCCAGUAAUCUUGUGUGAUAUCAGCUUCGGUACCUACAACUUGUCCAAAAUGCUGAAGUUCGUUGGUUUACUCGCUUUCGUGUCAGUGUCUUAUGCAGCUGUAGCAAUAUUCCCUGCUGAGGAAAAACCUGUAGACUUAACUAACCAAGAAGGAUGUUAUAUUUCCAAGAUAAACCGAGUGCUGCGAUACGAUGUUAACUUUUAUCCAAAUACUGAUUGCGCAGUGUACAUUUGCAAGAGCUCAAACAAUCAAACACUGUAUGAAACUUGUGGAGUAAAAGCUAUUCGCGAUGGCUGCAGAAGAAGCGCCAUAGAUAACAGCAAACAAUACCCUGAUUGUUGUUACCAAGAAGUAUGCGAUGGGACCACCA